GCGGCGAGGACACGGCUGCAGUCCCGGUCAGACAGCCGCCGGCCGGUAGCGACGCGAUGGCGUCCGGCGCCCCGCCCCGCCCCGCCCCGCCUCGCGCCGUCCAGCGCCGCCCAGCGCCCGCCCCUUAGGGGGCCGCACGGGCCGGGGGAUGCACGCUCUGGAGGCGCUGGAUCGCCGAAGGUCUGGUUGAAAACUUGAACCCGCCUGGAGCGGAUGCCUAAGAAAAUGCAGGCCCGCUGAAGCCUCCCCGCCGGGCCCUGGGCCCUGAAAGCCUCCGGCAGUUUCCCGUGACCCCGCGGCCGC
rnacentral:lncRNA from 1 species